rnacentral:misc_RNA from 1 species
AAGUCGUAACAAGGUUUCCGUAGGUGAACCUGCGGAAGGAUCAUUAUUGAAUUCAUAUAUGCGAAGGAGUUGUGCUGGUAAUGAAUAUUGCAUGUGCACACUCUGGAGCUAUAUAAUAUAUACACCUGUGAACCAACUGUAGUCAGGAGAAAUCCUAACUAUGAUUACCCUAUAUAACUCUUAUUGUAUGUUACAUAGAACGAUUUCAUAUUGAAACUUUGUUUUCUGACAAGUUUCUCUUAAUUAAAAAUAUACAACUUUCAACAACGGAUCUCUUGGCUCUU